ensembl:lncRNA novel transcript
CUGUGGGACUAACAUGGCUAUGAUCUGUCGGACAGACUUCAGGCUGGCACCCAGGCAAAAUUCUAUGCUGUAGUAAAUGCAUCAUGCACAUUUGUAACAACACGUACAUAACAAUGUCACAAAAUACUUUCACGGUGACAACUAGAUUAGUGUUUUAUUGAAUAGCUGAUGACAUAAACUGUCUCAUUUGGUGCCAAGACUGACCAUCACCAGCAUACCAAGGUCAUCACUGAUCAGAGGUCUAACCCAAGGAGGGGGUCAUGUGCAGGCCCAGCGGUGGGGAGGAAAGAUGCUGCAGAGGAGAUGGAUGCCCACAGAGGCCCCUGAGCGGAUACCAUGCUCACUAAGUGGUAAGUAUAGACUCAACGUAGGCUGUAAGCUCUCCCCCUGUGUAAAUGGGACCCCGUACACUUGAGAGUCAAGGGUCUGUUUGGGUGGCAGGGAUAGCCACUUCUGAAGGUAGAAAGGAAAAUAAGCCACCAAAUUGGUACCUUUCUGUGAAAUGGACAUCGUGCUCAGAAUCUCCAUUUUCCCCACAACCUGGAGGAGUAAGUACUGUCAUCUGCAUUUUGUAGCUGAGGAAUCUGACUCAACAAAAUUAAAUUACUCGCCUAAGCAAUUAGCAAUCAACCAAGUCUUUCUGACUCAGAAACCCAGCUAUUGCCUGUUCAUAUCCAGCCCCUGUAUUGGGGUCAAGAUCUGGCCUGUUCUCAAUGCAGCAAGAUCCAGGCAGAUCACACUGGACUCCCAGCACUGAAUCUGGCUCGAGGGGACAUCAAAUUUGACUGGGUCAUGGGGCUCAGGAGCAUCACUCUCAAAAAUAGCAGUACAGGAAGAGGCAAUGGCCCUAAACAGCAUUUGCAGGCAGAUCCCAUGUUAAUCGUAAGGGUCAGGACUCUCUCACUUUUCUGUCUCUCUCUCUGUCUCUCCUCUAGGGCUGACCCCACAUCGGACACCACUGCAUCCAUGUCCAUCACAACACAGCUGCCUUUUCUUCUGCCUGCUUAUGGGAAAGUCCCCUCCUCUCCUCCGUUUCCUUCUCUUCCUGCCCUAUCACACUGUGCACUUCUCCCUUUCCUUAAAGAACCACCAUCAACUUUAGGAGGAGGGAAAGGGGUGGCUCUGGGAGGAAAAGCCAGAAUCCCCUCUAGCCAGCAGAGAGAGAGGAAUGGCUGCAUGUUUUCUCCCCCAAUCCAAGGCACUAGGUUUUGGCUAGGUUGCAGGUUCCAAGCUGCUCUCCUGCUGUGUCGGUGAGUUCUGGUUAACCUGCAACCUCCUGAUGUGGCCACUGCAGUUCAUCGAGUCUUCAGGGACUCCCCAUGGCCUGGAGUACUUUGCCUUGCUUACACGGGAGAGGAGAAUGGAUUUAUAGAGAACAUCAUCUAAAUCCAACUUGACCAUUGUGUGGCCACACUUGCUAGAUUGCUAUAGUCUAAAUCUAGCAUUGUAGAAAGACGGGGGAGCUUGGAGCUGCACAAACCCAGGUCUGGAACGGGCUCCUUACCUUGGAAGGUGAAUGAUCCUGGUAGGACUCUUAGCCUCCCUGGGCCUCAGUUUCUUUAUCUGUUUCAUGGGAAUGAGGAUCUCGGCUGGUUGGUUGGGUGAUGCGGGGGCUGUGUGAAAACAGCUUGUCAAUACAAGCUGAAAUAGAAAUAUUUCUCCACAGAGUAUGAAGAUCAAAUGAGAGAAUACAUUUAAAUUAAAUGGAAAAUUAAAAUGGCAAAAAAGGCAAAGCUGUAUUGAAAGUUCCGAGCUUCUCUAUAAGGAGCUUUUUGACUAUGUAAGAAUCCUGUACUCGUUCCCCCUAAAUAUAAAAAAAAAAUGUUGAAGGAGGCAGAAGGGAGAGUGAUGCACGAUGGGCGAGGACUUCACCUGCUGUUGCUGGCUUUGAGGAUGGAGGAAGGAGGCCACAAACCUAGAAGCUGGAGCCCCUAGAAGCUAGAAAAGGCAGGGACCCGAUUCAUCCCUUGAGCCUCCAGAAGGGACAUAGCCCUGCCAGCACCUUGACUUUAGCCCAGUGAGAUCCUCUUAGGACUUUUGGCAACCAGAACUAUAAGACAGAAAUGGAAGCCACUGAGUCUGUAGCUGUUUGUUGCAGCAGCAAUAGAAAACUAAUGCAGAGCCCAAGAAAUCACUGGUGAUGAGAUGGGGAAGUGGGCUCAGGAGGUCUGGAUCUGUGAUGAGAUGGGGAAAGUGGGCUCAGGAGGUCUGGAUCUGUGAUGAGAUGGGGGAAGUGGGCUCAGGAGGUCUGGAUCUGAGUUGGGGAUCUGGAGUGGAAGGGGAAUUCAUUUGUUCAUUGUCUAUCCUUUUGCAUUAAUUGAAUUUUUUUCUAUACAUACAUGUGAAUUUUCACAAUAAAAGUUUUUUCCAAAAUAAAAUAAAAGAAACAAAAGGGGCUUUUUGCAACCCAAUUCCUAUCUAUGUCUGAGUCCACUUGUAUUGAAUGAGUCUUUCUGCUAACGUCCUUAUAUUUGGGUGACUAUCUGAAUGUCAGUGACCAAUCAGAGCAGAGGCAGACCUUGGAGUGGGCAGGGCAUCCUGAGGGCCCUGAUUCCUGCCAUAAGGCAUAACCCUUUAGGUGCCAGACCAUGGGGAGGUCCAGGGGUUGCAGGGGAGGGCUGUGCAUCUGCAAUGGCUCUCAGGGGGCUCCCGGUGGUGGCAAUUGGUGAAUCUGCAUGGUGGUGUUUCAAUAUUGUCACAACCCUGCUGUCUCUCAUGCUCUCAAAAAGCAUUUCUCUUACCUGUGACAGACUUCCUAUACCUAACAGCUUGCAAAAAUGUUCCAGAUUAAUGAGAAUAAUCUCUCGGAGCCAUACCUCCCUGCUUGGGGUCUCAGUUUCCCCAAAUGUCUCCAGACAAGUUAGGCUAGAAGGCCCCUGAGUCUCAGCCCCUCUAUAGCCCUCCUGUCACCCAGACCUGAUCUGGGUCUUGCACCCUGGGUGCAGCAUGACAGGGGUGGGCAGGGGCUGGCUCUGGGCCAGAGGACCCUUUCUGAUGGACUUCAGCUGUUGGCCUUCCAGGGGAGACUGAUCAACCUCACAAGAGUCAUAUGGUGAGUAGCGGUGGGCAAAUCCAUCCCCCUCAUCUUAGAUUUAUGGGGAGACAGAGACAAAGAGGAGACACUCCAGGAAGACCUGCAGGUGGGAGUACCAGGUUGAAACCAAGGACACCUUCCUGGAGGAGCUGCCGUUUGAGCCAGCUCUGAGAACAGGUGGAGACAGGACUGGAGAGGAGGAGGUUGUGCCCUAUGAGCAAAGACUGGCCACCACCCCAUCUAACACCCCCACAGGGCCCCUGUGGCAUCCCUGUCCAGUCCCUGUCACCACCCAGUUUUUCCCUCUGGACCCAGGAAUUCAAAGUAAGCAAGGAGGUCCGCUGCUCCAGUUGGCUGCAAAUAAUUACAACCUUGAGCCCAAGCAGCACUUUGGGUCCUGGUUUGGGACCAUGAAGCGGCUCGGUGAGACUGAGAGGUAAGGCCAGGGCAGGAAUUGGGAUAGUAGGAUUGAACUCUCCCUGGGGGCCAGCCUCAGAAAGCCUGUGGCCAUGGCCUCUUGGCCAACAUCAGAUCCUGUGGUCUGGCAAUGCCUGGGGUACCCAGACCUCACUCUGGACAGGCCCUGGGAGGGGGCCCUGGUGAGAUUCCUGGCAGCCUCACAGCCACUCUUCUGUCCAUAGCUACAACCUGUCAUGCCAGCUGGAGGCUCCAUCCCAGUUGGCUGGGAGCAUAAAGUCCAGGAAGAUAGACAUCACCCACCACAGGGGCCAGUCAGGGCCUGAACCAGGGCGGGCAGAGGUUGGCUGCCUUGGGAUAUGGGUGGGCUCAGGGAGUCAGACAGCAAGGGACUAGCCUCCCAUCCUACUGCUGAGCAGCCCUGUGACUGGGGAGAGUCACCUUACUUCUCUGGGCCUCAGUUUCCCCCUCUGUGGAGUGACACUAAAUGAUCUCUCUGGAGACGGGGAUCAAUAGGGUACUGGUGAUUGACCAGGCACUCAGCACAUGCCUGGAGCACACAGUGCAGGGCUGUGGUGGGGAGGUGGGCUGAGUUCCUAGGGAGUCACCCAUGUGUGCCUGCCGUUCUGACCAGCCACCAGGCCCUCAGGGCAGAGCCCACUACCAGCAGCAGCUCACACCCCAAGACCAGCUCAGAGGCGGCCCCUACCUCAGCAGCAGGGACAUCACAGACACUUUGAGCUGGCACUAGGGUGGCUUCUCCAGCUCCCACGGGGAGAGGGGUCCCAGCUGAGUCCCACUCACGUGGAGUCUCAUGCCCAUGAAAGUGCCAUUCACCACUGGCCAGGCUCAUGAGGCCGCAUGAGAGGGGGGUCACUGGGGAGGAGAUAUCGGGGGAACAGAGAGGGUGGUUGAAUUUUUGUAUAAUAGGCAGUGCAAGUGUUUACCGUUUGGCAGGGGAAAGGUUUGUUAUUAUUAGCAAUGCUACACUUCAAUAUUACACUAAAAUCCAGUUUCUCUAUAACCUGGGAGUUGCUCUUUUGUUCUUUCUUUUCCCAUCUUAAUUAAAAUGAGAUGCAGACUCUCACGGUCCACAGUCGAUUAAGAAAUCUUGCACGGCCAUCAGGUUAUGUCUUGGAGAGCAGAGUUUCAGUACCAUCAGCCUGGCAAGGAGCUGGGCCUGCUCCUCAGAGCUCCCGGGACUGCGAGAAUUGGCAUGUUCACAAGGCACCGUCACAGCCUCUGAAACACGCUGUCUUUAAAGAUGUUUGCAGGCUGGACGCGGUGGCUCACUCCUGUAAUCCCAGCACUUUGGGAGGCAGAAGCGGGUGGCUCACUUGAGGUCAGGAGUUCGAGACCAACAUGGCAAAACCCCAUCUCUACUAAAAAUACAAAAAAUUAGCCAGGUGUGGUGGCAGGUGCCUGUAAUUCCAGCUACUCAGGAGGCUGAGGUAGGAGAACUGCUUGAACCCAGGAGGUGGAGGUUGCAAUGAGCAGAGAUCACACCACUGCACUCCAGUCUGGGCAACAAGAGCAAAACUUCAUCUCAAAAAAAAAAAAAAAAAAAAAAAACACAAAACACAAAGACAUUUGCAAGGACCAUGUCCUCACCCAGAAUGGUGCCUGCCUUUCUACAGUUUUUCAGGAAAAGGAAACAUUUUCUGCUUCUCUCGCUGAGGUUUUUUUUAACCACCCAUUAGGAACCUAUAGAUUUCAGGAUCGAACACUGGGAUUCCCUCAGCACUAAAGGAGGACAAUUGCAAACAGAGCUGAAAGUGCAAUGUGGAAAGGUCAGGCUGAGGAAGGUUCUUAGCCAGUAGACCAAGGGCAGGAAGGACACUGCCUCCUCAGUCUCCCACUAGGGAACUUGUGAUUCUUGUCCCCUGACCUCAGAAUUCCUUGUCAUGUUUGUUUUGUCUCCAAGGGAAGGGUUUGAAUUACAGAAUUUAAGGCUAGAGUGGGCCUCGUGCAGUUAACAUUAACCCUCUCUCUCCUUCGCUGGCCAAGGUGAAGUCCGGAAACAUGUAGUUCUGACGUCCACUCUCUCGGGGGAUCACCAGUUCACCCAUCUCACCCGGCAAGCUGGGACCUAGUUUGGCGACAGGCAUCUUCCACCCACCUGGGAGGCAGGGUUCAACACUCUGCCUCUGACCUUGUUUCCUUCUUCUGCCACCUGCUUAGGCAGCCAGAAGGGGUUGUCCAGCCAGCACCUGGGCUUUGGCGCUCCUCAAGCAGGUGGAGGAAGUUUCAGGCACCUGGCUCCUCAGGUGUCUGCCAUCCAGGUGCUCUUCAGGCCUGCCCAGCAGAGCUCUCUUGAUCCAGCUAGAACUGGCCAGAACUGACUCACUCAGGAAUGUGUAGACUUUGGCAUCAGGGGCUGCUUUAAUUUGCACAAUUUCCAAAUACCUCUUUUUUCUUCUUUUUCUGAUGAGUCAUCUUCCUAGACUUUCAUUUUAAAGAGAUAGAUAGUUAUCAGGUUCCAGAGAAGACAUGGUAGAACAUUUAUAUCUCAAAGACACAGAGCUGAGACUUCAGUUUUAGAUACUAUAAUUUGCCUAAACCAAAAAGGAAGGUGUAGGUAAAGUUCUAGUCAAGACAGGAUGGCCAGGAAAAACACCUUAAACCAAGGGAUGGCUUGCUUUGCUGAUUUAAGCCAAUGGCUUCUUUAUCAUAAGACUUCCCAGUGAUUUAGUCCUCCCUCUCUUCCAGUGCACAGAGACAUACCCCUCCUUACAAAUAAAAAUGUUCUUUAUAGAUGUAAAUUUAUUUUACAAAAAUGUUUCAAAAUAACCAGAUGAAAAUCAUCCUUAUGCCAGAAAGACUUGUUUUUUUUUUCAUUACUAGAAAUGAAACAGUAAGUAUUUGUUGUAUUGACAUACUUAGGCUUAGACCUGUGUUUAACAAGAAAGCCUAAUAAUAGCACUGUGGUUAGACUGUAGCCUAUUUUUCCAAACCAUCAUUUUAUUAUUAAGGAAACGAAGGACCAAAUACCUUUCAUUCAUCUGAUAUGAUCCUUUAAAACACAUUCCACUAACAAGUCCCAUUUGGAACAGCUGAAAAUCUUUUAAUAAAACUUUUUAAAGAUGAGCUCAUGGCUUAGUGUAAAUUUCACAAGCUUAAUUAGGUCAAAUGGAAGGAACUCAGAUGAGUAGUUGCCCAAUCAGAGCCCAUUAUUUGUAAGUCAUCAGACCCCUCCAUGACCUUAAAACUCCACUCUGACCUGAUUAUUGCAAACCUAUAUACAAAAAAGUGAAAGGAUUAAUUUUCAUUCAUCAACCUCUCAAUCCCAGAUUUUCAAAGAAAAAACCUAUGUAAGGAAUACUUACCAAAACCAGACAGGAAAAUUAGAGCCUGCAUACUUUAGAGUCAAAUUUGUUCCACUACAGCCAGGUCGCAUACAAUUACAUCAUUUGGUUCUUCAUACACUCUAGAACUGACUAGGACAGAGUUUAGCAUAGAAGAACUGUAAGAAAUAGGUUCUGAAACAUAGAAAUUGCAAAGUUCAAAAGGCUAUGAAAAAAACUAAUGUAAAUGAGAGACUCCCCUCACUUUGUUUUAAAGAAAUAGACCCAUCAGAGAAAUGCAAAUCAAAACCACAAUGAGAUACCAUCUCACACCAGUUAGAAUGGUGAUCAUUAAAAAGUCAGGAAACAACAGGUGCUAGAGAGGAUGUGGAGAAAUAGGAACACUUUUACACUGUUGGUGGGACUGUAAACUAGUUCAACCAUUGUGGAAGACAGUGUGGCCAUUCCUCAGGGAUCUAGAACUAGAAAUACCAUUUGACCCAGCCAUCCCACUACUGGGUAUAUACCCAAAGGAUUAUAAAUCGUGCUGCUAUAAAGACACAUGCACACGUAUGUUUAUUGCGGCACUAUUCACAAUAGCAAAGACUUGGAACCAACCCAAAUGUCCAACAAUGAUAGACUGGAUGAAGAAAAUGUGGCACAUAUACACCAUAGAAUACUAUGCAUCCAUAAAAAAUGAUGAGUUCAUGUCCUUUGUAGGGACACGGAUGAAGUUGGAAACCAUCAUUCUCAGCAAACUAUGGCAAGGACAAAAAAACAAACACCGCAUGUUCUCACUCAUAGGUGGGAAUUGAACAAUGAGAACACUUGGACACAGGAAAGGGAAAAUCACACACCAGGGCCUGUUGUGGGGUGGGGGGAGGGGGGAGGGAUAGCAUUAGGAGAUAUGCCUAAUAUAAAUGAUGAGUUAAUGGGUGCAGCACACCAACAUGGCACAUGUAUACAUAUGCAACAAACCUGCACAUUGUGCAUGUGUACCCUAGAAUUUAAAGUAUAAUAAAAAAAAUAAAAAAAUAAAAAAAUAAAUAGAUGUUCUGUAAAAAUAUACACAAUUUUUACAGACAAAUACAUUUAUAAGUUGUUUUUAUCUUAAAAAUUGGGGAUAUUUCAUAUUUAUAACUAAUUAUUGAACCUUAAGUUUUCUUGGCCAUUUAUAGGCUAAUAAACUAAGAAUCAUGUAAACUAAGCCAAAGUAGAAUAGACAUAAAAGUCCUAACACUUCAACUUCCUAUCCUUCAAGAAGUAUACCUCGCAAAGCUCAUUUGAGAGAGGAAAAGCUUUCCUCCACCCUCUGUUUUACAGCGCUGAGGUUUCUCAUCACAUUUCUAUGACUUAUAGCUUAAAUCCAUGUUACAUGGUCACUGGCAUUGUUAGUGCUUCUCUUUUAAUACUGUAGGAAUUAAUCAAUUUGGUGGCGUAUUUAAUUAAUUCUAUCACUAGAGGAUUGUAAAAUUACAUAUAUGAAUACCUCACUUUAGAGACCACUUAAUUUUUUUUCCAAGGGGAUAUUUGACUAUAUUUCACUUGUGUCUUAUUUAAUGAUUUUAUAAUUUAAACCCUAAAUUAUAAAUCUAGAAUUUAGAGAGUAUAUUUCCCCACUGGAUUACAUUUUUGGAAUUAUUAUAUGUGCACAAAUAUUACAAAAUCACUGUAGACACCUGAAA